rnacentral:tRNA from 1 species
GUAAAAUUAGUUUAUAUAAAAAUACUGAAUUGUGGAUUCAGAGAAAAAAAUACGAUUUAUUUUACU